GACGAACGCUGGCGGCGUGCCUAAUACAUGCAAGUUGAGCGCUGAAGGUUGGUACUUGUACCAACUGGAUGAGCAGCGAACGGGUGAGUAACGCGUGGGGAAUCUGCCUUUGAGCGGGGGACAACAUUUGGAAACGAAUGCUAAUACCGCAUAAAAACUUUAAACACAAGUUUUAAGUUUGAAAGAUGCAAUUGCAUCACUCAAAGAUGAUCCCGCGUUGUAUUAGCUAGUUGGUGAGGUAAAGGCUCACAAAGGCGAUGAUACAUAGCCGACCUGAGAGGGUGAUCGGCCACAUUGGGACUGAGACACGGCCCAAACUCCUACGGGAGGCAGCAGUAGGGAAUCUUCGGCAAUGGACGAAAGUCUGACCGAGCAACGCCGCGUGAGUGAAGAAGGUUUUCGGAUCGUAAAACUCUGUUGGUAGAGAAGAACGUUGGUGAGAGUGGAAAGCUCAUCAAGUGACGGUAACUACCCAAAAAGGGACGGCUAACUACGUG
rnacentral:rRNA from 1 species